AGUUCUGUUGGUUGCAGUUUAUAGUCGCACAUGAUGGUUACUAUACAUUGAUAGCAGGGAAUCAUCAAUCAGGAAGCGAAGGCAACAACUAAUUAAGAUGGUGAGCAAUCUCAGGCUUCUGGUCCUUAAACUAUGUGUUUUGUAAUGACUUCUUUGGAACUUCUAGAAGUCAGCUGGAUGAAUAAAUAUAAAGUGAGCAUCACUAAGCCGUGAGCAUCACCAAGCUGUGAGCAUCACCAAGACUUCGUAAUGGGAUUUAUUUAUUUUUUCUAUAGAAGCAUCACCAAGCUUUCCUUAAUAUUAUGACUAUCUUUAUAUGUGUAGUGAUGUCAAUUGCAGGGUCCAUUAAGUGUAGAACAGUGCUAAAUACAUGUAUUAAUUUUCCAAAUAUUUUAAUCUUAUUACCUUUAUUGUUGUGUAGUUUUUUUCAUUCCAAACAGUAAAAGCGACCCUGGAUUUUAUUAAAUGUGGGGCUGCUAAAGAAGCAGACCUUGAUUUGGUGUUGGUGGAGGUUAAUCCUAACAAUAUGGCACCAGACACUUCAGCAAACUCUGAUUGUUCCAUCACAUACUAAAUGAACUUCAAGCCCCUCUUAUCGCAAUGUGUUCUUGUGACGACUAAGAGGCACUUUCCAAAUGUAUGAACCUGGGUGCAUGCUUCCAUGUGAUGAAGCCACUGGACAGAAGAAGCUUCAGGAUUCUAAGGCACCAAGCACUGGAUUACAAGUCUAAAAAGGCAGCACCUCAAGGAUCAAGUCUCAAUAAUAGUACCAAAAAUAGAAUGGUUUCACCAUCUACUGAAAAGCCUAAGGAAGUGCUUAUUCUAAAGACAAAUGAUUAUCUGUUCCUGAAAGCAAUGGACAUGAAGAGACAAAAAAGCAAAAUCAGGCCACAUGGACCAUUGAACUCCAUGAAAAGUUCUUGGAGGUUAUCGAAGCUCUUGGGGGGACAAGUUUGCUGCACCUGAGAGAAUCCUGCACCUGAUGAAUGUAAAGGGUUUGACUGUGAAGCAUAUAGCCAUCCAUCUCCAGGUGACAAGUAUUGUUUGACAAGUAUAUGACAUCUAGGUGAACUGAGGUACUCAAGUAUAGAGUAGGCAAUUAGUGGCUGAAGCAGGAAAUGAGGUUUCCAGAAUGCUUGAAACCAAGAAGAUCCGACUUGACACGUGUUAAAAUACCAGGUUCUUCGGUCAAGCUACCUACCAC